CUCUCUCUCUCUCUCUCUCUCUCUUUAUAUAGAGUACUCUAGAGUGUUUUAGAAAUAAAUGCUCUCUCUACUUACUAAUAGAGCACUCUAGAAAACUCUAGAAAUAAGUGUUCUAAAAUACUCUAAAGUGUUUAAGUUGUGAGUUGGGGUUUGGGCCUAUAAAUAGGUGUAAGACCUCCAUACCAAGUAAAUGUGGUGAAGUGGUAAAGAGUACAUUAUGAAAUUGUAGUGUGUGUGGUGAGGCACAGUGUAGAGAGUAAGGGUGUAUUGAAUAGUGAAAUUAGUAUGUGAGUUUUUUAGUAUUUUGGAUAUAUGUGAUAAAAUUUUAUGUAAUAGUUAUUUUGUAUGUACUAAAAAGUGUUUUAUUAUUAGUUUGAUACGUCAAUAUUCUAUAUGAACUUUCAUACCUUGAAAUAUAU
rnacentral:lncRNA from 1 species